rnacentral:rRNA from 1 species
GAAGCUUGCUCCCCCUGANUGUUNGAUNAAGGGGCAGGGUGAGAUAACACGCUGUGGGUAACCUCGCCGUCGUAUAGACUACGGGAUAACUCCGCGGGAAACCAAGCGGGCGUCAAUACCAGCGGAUGGUUGUUUGAGACCGCUAUGGGUGUCACAACAUAAAAAGGUGGCUGUCGCGCUGAUCCGACUUUAUCAUGAUGAGGAGCGCCCGCGGCUGCAUUAUAGCUNCAGUAUGGGGGUGGGAGGGUAUACAGGCUGCUACCAACAGGCGAACGGAAUGCGUAUGCCGCACCAUCGUAGAAGGGGUGGAUGCAGCGCGCGACACUGGGGGACUAGCAGAACACCGCCCCAGCACUACCUCACGAGCGGAGGGACAGCCAGUAAGGGAAUACUUCCCGCCAAUAGGAACGAAAAGUACUGUACGAGAGCANCGACCGCCGUGUAGUAGUAUGAUAAGAGUUGUUCGGAAUCGUUCAUAAGCUUCUGCUNGUUUAGGGAAAGAAACAACNAUNACCGUUUCGUUAAUAUAGUGGCCGCGCUACCUUGUUACGAGCUACCUAACCAGCAAAGCCACGGCUANUCUACGAUGCCACCACGCCCGCGGUAAUAACUGUAUGUGGUCAAGCGUUGUUCCGCAAUUAUUGGGCGUAAUAGGGCUCGCAUGCGCCGGUUUCUUUNAUUCUGAUGUGAAACGCCCCCGGCUCAACCGGGGAGGGUCNUUGGGAAACUGGGGAACUUGAGUGCAGAAAAAGGAGAGUGGAAUUUCACCGUGUAUCGGUGAAAUGCUGUAUAGAUUAGUAGGAGGAACCACAUGGGAAGGCGACUUCUCUGGUCUUGUUAAUCUGACCCUGAGGGAGACAACAAACGUGGGGAGACACAACGNAUAAAAUUCCCCUGGUUAUUCCCCCCCUAAAAAAUANUUGUAAUUUGUUAGGGGGUUUCCCCCCUUUAUUGUUAUAUACCAUAACCCCCCCCCGGGGGAUGCUGGCCCACAUAAAACAAAGAAUAUAGGGGCCCCCCCCACACGGGGACNUUUUAUUAACAAACCACAAAAUACUGCUUACANCUAUACACAAANUACCCCUUGGAGAAGGUUAGUGUUAUUUUUAUUAUUCCAACC